rnacentral:rRNA from 1 species
GAAGUGCGAAUGCUGACAUAAGUAACGAUAAAGCGGGUGAAAAGCCCGCUCGCCGGAAGACCAAGGGUUCCUGUCCAACGUUAAUCGGGGCAGGGUGAGUCGACCCCUAAGGCGAGGCCGAAAGGCGUAGUCGAUGGGAAACGGGUUAAUAUUCCCGUACUUGGUGUUACUGCGAAGGGGGGACGGAGAAGGCUAUGUUGGCCGGGCGACGGUUGUCCCGGUUUAAGCGUGUAGGUGUGUGUUCCAGGUAAAUCCGGUUCACUUUAACACUGAGGCGUGAUGACGAGGCACUACGGUGCUGAAGCAACAAAUGCCCUGCUUCCAGGAAAAGCCUCUAAGCAUCAGGUAACACGAAAUCGUACCCCAAACCGACACAGGUGGUCAGGUAGAGAAUACCAAGGCGCUUGAGAGAACUCGGGUGAAGGAACUAGGCAAAAUGGUGCCGUAACUUCGGGAGAAGGCACGCUGACACGUAGGUGAAGUGAUUUACUCAUGGAGCUGAAGUCAGUCGAAGAUACCAGCUGGCUGCAACUGUUUAUUAAAAACACAGCACUGUGCAAACACGAAAGUGGACGUAUACGGUGUGACGCCUGCCCGGUGCCGGAAGGUUAAUUGAUGGGGUCAGCGCAAGCGAAGCUCCUGAUCGAAGCCCCGGUAAACGGCGGCCGUAACUAUAACGGUCCUAAGGUAGCGAAAUUCCUUGUCGGGUAAGUUCCGACCUGCACGAAUGGCGUAAUGAUGGCCAGGCUGUCUCCACCCGAGACUCAGUGAAAUUGAACUCGCUGUGAAGAUGCAGUGUACCCGCGGCAAGACGGAAAGACCCCGUGAACCUUUACUAUAGCUUGACACUGAACAUUGAGCCUUGAUGUGUAGGAUAGGUGGGAGGCUUUGAAGUGUGGACGCCAGUCUGCAUGGAGCCGACCUUGAAAUACCACCCUUUAAUGUUUGAUGUUCUAACGUGGACCCGUAAUCCGGGUUGCGGACAGUGUCUGGUGGGUAGUUUGACUGGGGCGGUCUCCUCCUAAAGAGUAACGGAGGAGCACGAAGGUUGGCUAAUCCUGGUCGGACAUCAGGAGGUUAGUGCAAUGGCAUAAGCCAGCUUGACUGCGAGCGUGACGGCGCGAGCAGGUGCGAAAGCAGGUCAUAGUGAUCCGGUGGUUCUGAAUGGAAGGGCCAUCGCUCAACGGAUAAAAGGUACUCCGGGGAUAACAGGCUGAUACCGCCCAAGAGUUCAUAUCGACGGCGGUGUUUGGCACCUCGAUGUCGGCUCAUCACAUCCUGGGGCUGAAGUAGGUCCCAAGGGUAUGGCUGUUCGCCAUUUAAAGUGGUACGCGAGCUGGGUUUAGAACGUCGUGAGACAGUUCGGUCCCUA